rnacentral:tRNA from 1 species
UCCGUCGUGGCUCAGAUGGUAAAGCAUCUGCCUACAAUGCAGGAGACCUGGGUUCGACCCCUGGGUUGGGA